rnacentral:rRNA from 1 species
UACGUAGGGGGCAAGCGUUUGUCCGGAAUUAUUGGGCGUAAAGAGCGUGUAGGCGGCCAGAUAAGUCCGCUGUGAAUCUCGAGGCUCAACUUCGAGCUGUCGGUGGAAACUAUCUGGCUAGAGUCCGGAAGAGGAGAAUGGAAUUCCUGGUGUAGCGGUGAAAUGCGCAGAUAUCAGGAAGAACACCCGUGGCGAAGGCGGUUCUCUGGGCCUUACCUGACGCUGGAGGAGCGAAAGCAUGGGGAGCAAACAGG